AGCGGUAAGACCCCUGGAAGACUACCAGGUAGAUAGGCCAGAGGUGUAAGCGUCGUAAGGCGUUUAGCUGACUGGUACUAAUAGGUCGAGGGCUUGAUCUU
rnacentral:rRNA from 1 species